GAGAGAGGGAGAGGGAGAUCAGCGCUGCUCCCUCCAGCGCGGCUCCUGUCUAAAUGCAGGCGAGUGGAAGAUGUGUCUAACGCGCCAAAGAAUGAUGUUCGGGAUACGAUGGGAGCACCCAUUAAAAUGCUGCAAGGCAUCCAGUAUUCGUGGAAAUAAGCUUGCAGUUGCUGUAACAAGCAUGUUAACUGUGAUUGAUUCCAACUGUGAAGGGAAAUGAAUGACAAGGGAAGAUUAAACAAGAGCAUGCUCAACCGUCUCAAGAGAAAAAGGUUAAAAGGAGAGCUCAGUAGGUACAUAAAAUACCAAGUGAGAGAGAUGAGGUGAACA